AGUGAACGCUGGCGGUAGGCCUAACACAUGCAAGUCGAACGGCAGCACAGUAAGAGCUUGCUCUUACGGGUGGCGAGUGGCGGACGGGUGAUGAAUACAUCGGAAUCUACUUUUUCGUGGGGGAUAACGUAGGGAAACUUACGCUAUUACCGCAUACGACCUACGGGUGAAAGCAGGGGAUCUUCGGACCCUGCGCGAUUGAAUGAGCCGAUGUCGGAUUAGCUAGUUGGCGGGGUAAAGGCCCACCAAGGCGACGAUCCGUAGCUGGUCUGAGAGGAUGAUCAGCCACACUGGAACUGAGACACGGUCCAGACUCCUACGGGAGGCAGCAGUGGGGAAUAUUGGACAAUGGGCGCAAGCCUGAUCCAGCCAUACCGCGUGGGUGAAGAAGGCCUUCGGGUUGUAAAGCCCUUUUGUUGGGAAAGAAAAGCAGCAAGUUAAUACCCCGCUGUUCUGACGGUACCAAAAGAAUAAGCACCGGCUAACUUCGUG
rnacentral:rRNA from 1 species